rnacentral:rRNA from 1 species
UACGUAGGGUGCAGGCGUUAAUCGGAAUUACUGGGCGUAAAGCGUGCGCAGGCGGUUUGCUAAGACAGGUGUGAAAUCCCCGGGCUUAACCUGGGAACUGCGCUUGUAACUGGCAAGCUAGAGUGUGGCAGAGGGGGGUGGAAUUCCAGGUGUAGCAGUGAAAUGCGUAGAGAUGUGGAGGAACACCAAUGGCGAAGGCAGCCCCCUGGGAUGAGCACUGACGCUCAUGCACGAAAGCGUGGGGAGCAAACAGG